GAAGCAGGGGCCCCGCAUGGGGAUAUUUGCUAAAGAUUCAUCGCUGAUAGAUAGGCAUGCGUUCCAUUAGGCAGUUGGCGGGGUAACGGCCCACCAAACCGACGAUGGAUAGGGGUUCUGAGAGGAAGGUCCCCCACAUUGGUACUGAGACACGGACCAAACUCCUACGGGAGGCAGCAGUGAGGAAUAUUGGUCAAUGGGCGUAAGCCUGAACCAGCCAAGUCGCGUGAGGGAUGAAGGUUCUAUGGAUCGUAAACCUCUUUUAUAAGGGAAUAAAGUGCGGGACGUGUCCCGUUUUGUAUGUACCUUAUGAAUAAGGAUCGGCUAACUCCGUGCCAGCAGCCGCGGUAAUACGGAGGAUCCGAGCGUUAUCCGGAUUUAUUGGGUUUAAAGGGUGCGUAGGCGGCCUUUUAAGUCAGCGGUGAAAGUCUGUGGCUCAACCAUAGAAUUGCCGUUGAAACUGGGGGGCUUGAGUAUGUUUGAGGCAGGCGGAAUGCGUGGUGUAGCGGUGAAAUGCUUAGAUAUCACGCAGAACCCCGAUUGCGAAGGCAGCCUGCCAAGCCAUGACUGACGCUGAUGCACGAAAGCGUGGGGAUCAAACAGGAUUAGAUACCCUGGUAGUCCACGCAGUAAACGAUGAUCACUAGCUGUUUGCGAUACACUGUAAGCGGCACAGCGAAAGCGUUAAGUGAUACCACCUGGGGAGUACGCCGGCAACGGUGAAACUCAAAGGAAUUGACGGGGGCCCGCACAAGCGGAGGAACAUGUGGUUUAAUUCGAUGAUACGCGAGGAACCUUACCCGGGUUUGAACGCAUUCGGACCGAGGUGGAAACACCUUUUCUAGCAAUAGCCGUUUGCGAGGUGCUGCAUGGUUGUCGUCAGCUCGUGCCGUGAGGUGUCGGCUUAAGUGCCAUAACGAGCGCAACCCUUGCCACUAGUUACUAACAGGUGAAGCUGAGGACUCUGGUGGGACUGCCAGCGUAAGCUGCGAGGAAGGCGGGGAUGACGUCAAAUCAGCACGGCCCUUACAUCCGGGGCGACACACGUGUUACAAUGGCGUGGACAAAGGGAUGCCACCUGGCGACAGGGAGCGAAUCCCCAAACCACGUCUCAGUUCGGAUCGGAGUCUGCAACCCGACUCCGUGAAGCUGGAUUCGCUAGUAAUCGCGCAUCAGCCAUGGCGCGGUGAAUACGUUCCCGGGCCUUGCACUCACCCGCCCGUCA
rnacentral:rRNA from 1 species